rnacentral:rRNA from 1 species
GGCUUAACCUUACAACGCCGAAGAUGUUUUGGCGGAUGAGAGAAGAUUUUCAGCCUGAUACAGAUUAAAUCAGAACGCAGAAGCGGUCUGAUAAAACAGAAUUUGCCUGGCGGCCUUAGCGCGGUGGUCCCACCUGACCCCAUGCCGAACUCAGAAGUGAAACGCCGUAGCGCCGAUGGUAGUGUGGGGUCUCCCCAUGCGAGAGUAGGGAACUGCCAGGCAUCAAAUUUAGCGUGCUGAUAUGGCUCAGUUGGUAGAGCGCACCCUUGGUAAGGGUGAGGUCCCCAGUUCGACUCUGGGUAUCAGCACC